rnacentral:rRNA from 1 species
UUAACGGAGAGUUUGAUCCUGGCUCAGGACGAACGCUGGCGGCGUGCUUAACACAUGCAAGUCGAACGGUGAAGGCGGAGCUUGCUCUGCCGGAUCAGUGGCGAACGGGUGAGUAACACGUGGGCAACCUGCCCUUCACUCUGGGAUAACCCCGGGAAACCGGGGCUAAUACCGGAUACGACCCCUGCAGGCAUCUGCGGGGGUGGAAAGUUUUUCGGUGAAGGAUGGGCCCGCGGCCUAUCAGCUUGUUGGUGAGGUAGUGGCUCACCAAGGCGACGACGGGUAGCCGGCCUGAGAGGGCG